AAAUAAGAAGCUUAAAGCAAUUAGUUUCGACCUAUAGAAUGAUGAUAAAAAUCAUCCUUAUUUU
rnacentral:tRNA from 2 species